GCAUUAGUAGCUCAGUAUCAGAGCGCCGGUCUUGUAAAUCGGAUGCCGAAGGUUAAAUUCCUUCCUACUGCU
rnacentral:tRNA from 1 species